GCUGUAGUGUAGGGUUCAUCACGUUUGCCUAACAUACAAAAGAUCCCCAGUUCAACACCAGGCAGAAACA